rnacentral:rRNA from 1 species
CCUACGGGCGGCUGCAGUGGGGAAUAUUGCACAAUAGGCGCAAGCCUGAUGCAGCCAUGCCGCGUGUGUGAAGAAGGCCUUCGGGUUGUAAAGCACUUUCAGCGGGGAGGAAGGCGUUAAGGUUAAUAACCUUGGCGAUUGACGUUACCCGCAGAAGAAGCACCGGCUAACUCCGUGCCAGCAGCCGCGGUAAUACGGAGGGUGCAAGCGUUAAUCGGAAUUACUGGGCGUAAAGCGCACGCAGGCGGUCUGUCAAGUCGGAUGUGAAAUCCCCGGGCUCAACCUGGGAACUGCAUUCGAAACUGGCAGGCUAGAGCCUUGUAGAGGGGGGUAGAAUUCCAGGUGUAGCGGUGAAAUGCGUAGAGAUCUGGAGGAAUACCGGUGGCGAAGGCGGCCCCCUGGACAAAGACUGACGCUCAGGUGCGAAAGCGUGGGGAGCAAACAGGAUUAGAUACCCCAGUAGUC